GUAACACUAAAGGAUUUAAACGUUUAAUUCCCCUAUCUCAUGAGGUAUCAAAACUUUUCUCGUGGAAGGGAACUGGUACCAAAAGCAGCGCUAUUGGUUAGGCAACGACUGCGGCAAUAAGAAGUGCUUUUCGUCAAAAAUUUAACUCCCACGAAGAAGUUUUUA
rnacentral:lncRNA from 1 species